GUAUGGAACGCCAUCCUGGACAAAAUUCCUCAUCAAUAAUGUAAAUAUGGAAAGGUAGUGUGGCGAUGCGCGAAGCGCAUCGCCUCAUUAAUGCGUCAAUUUCAUAAUGGAUGUUUCUUAUCUAUGCAGCUAAUCGAUGUAGCUAUUCAAGUGAUGGUAGCUACGAUUUUCUAAGACUUCACCUCAUCACGUGAUCCUCACCCCGCCUAUAGUAGGCGUGUUAACCAGUGACAAGAUUAAGAUUUAGAGAUGGCGAUAAAGCAGAGCUACUAUAGUAGCCUUGAGUGAGUGCAUGUCAGUGUUCUUGGUGGAGAUCAAGAGCUCAUCAAAUCCAAGGAGUCUUUCCAAGACCAAACAAGGAGGAUCAGAUAGCCCUCAAGGAAUGGCUCAGAGAGACUCGAUAAAGAAAAAGGCAUUGUAUAACUGGUCACUCUUUUUUUAACAUUAGCAAUUGCAUGUUUUGUUUUAAUGCCUGUACUAGUGACUACAAUGUUCUUAAUUAUUGAAUGAAAUUGCAAUAAACAAAAUAUUUUUAACAGAAAUCAAAA